GAUCUGGUAGCUCAGUUGGUAGAGCAUCUCCCUUUUAAGGAGAGGGUCCUGGGUUCGAGCCCCAGCCAGGUCACAA
rnacentral:tRNA from 1 species